rnacentral:rRNA from 1 species
UACAGAGGGUGCGAGCGUUGUCCGGAAUUACUGGGCGUAAAGGGCGCGUAGGCGGCUCGUUUAGUCGGGUGUGAAAUCCCAAGGCUCAACCUUGGAACUGCAUUCGAUACUGGCGGGCUAGAGACCGGAAGAGGUGGGUGGAAUACCCAGUGUAGAGGUGAAAUUCGUAGAUAUUGGGUGGAACACCGGUGGCGAAGGCGGCUCACUGGUCCGGUUCUGACGCUGAGGCGCGAAAGCGUGGGGAGCAAACAGG